UAACACCUGGAAACAGAUGCUAAUACCGGAUAACAACAGAUGAUGCCUAUCAACUGUUUAAAAGAUGGUUCUGCUAUCACUCUUGGAUGGACCUGCGGUGCAUUAGCUAGUUGGUAGGGUAACGGCCUACCAAGGCGAUGAUGCAUAGCCGAGUUGAGAGACUGAUCGGCCACAUUGGGACUGAGACACGGCCCAAACUCCUACGGGAGGCAGCAGNG
rnacentral:rRNA from 1 species